rnacentral:lncRNA from 1 species
ACAACAUACAUAUUUUAUUCUUCAUAAAGGAAAAAAAACAAAGCAAACAACCCUGCUCUCUGGAUAUAAUGCUAAAGUACCUAAUUGAUCCCAGCAGAUGAUGUCCAAGGAACAACAACAAAUUCAGAUGACUGAACCCUGUGCUUUGUGCUUGGUCUUUCCUGCUCAGCCCCCUGUCAGGGCUUCUCCAGCCUUUCCUCCUUUGAAGUCAGCGGGAGCUCAGAGCUUAGAAGAGUCACCCAGAGUACAGAGGGACACAGAGGACAAAGCUGCUUGACUUUCUGCCCUCACAGAGGAACAUGUGCUUGGGCAAGACAGCAAACCAAGAUAGAAAAAAAUGACUUACCAGACACCCCGUCAUACCAGCAAUUCAGUCUGUGAGAUGAAGACCAAAAGAGGAAAAAUAAAUAAUAACGUCAUGAUAUCUGGCAAUGACAGCAUGAUUACAGCACCUUGGAAUAUCUUCCUGUGGUCUUCACUUAAUGGAAAACAAAACUAUUGCUCCACUGUUUUUUCUUUUUUUCUGUUUCUCAGAUUUUCAAUAAUAUGCUACUAAAUUUAAUUUUAACUCAUUAGUUAAAUUCUAAACAGUUCAUUCCUGGCUGCAUCUAUUUCCUUAACCCAGAUAUGUUCAUUAUUGUUUAUUGUCAACUUGCUAACACAUAGAGAAACCUAAGAAGGAGGAAUCUCAUUUGUGAAAUUUUCUAGCUGAGACAGGCUUGUGGACAUGUCUUUGGUGCAUUCUCUUUAAUGCUAAUUGCAGUAGCAUGAACUACAGUUUAUCCUGGGCUAUGUAAGACAGCUAGCUAACUUGUGUUCCUGUAAGGCUUCUACUUCAUGCUUGCACUCUGCUUGAGCUCCUGUUCUGCUUACCUCCAUGACAGAAUGUAACUUGGAUUAUAACCUAAGAUAAAACCUUUCACACCUAUCACACCUUUGGUCAAGAUGUUUGUCAAACCAUAAGAAGCAAGCUGUAACAAUAAGUCACAUAAUGGGAAAGAUGCAUCUAAAUCACACACAAGGGUGUGUUGCUUAAUUUAUAAAUAUACUGGAGACAUUCAUAUAUCCAUGAAAAAUAUGACAUUAUAUCUAAGGAAAUAGGCUGCAAUGAUAUCACAUCAGAUAUUAAACAAGAGUAAAUUCCGGGUAAGUG